AUGUCAUGCACUGGGCCUCUAGUAUAUAUAUGUAUGUGUGUGUGUGUGUGUGUGUGUGUGUGUGUAUGUGUAGAUACACACACACACACACACA
rnacentral:miRNA from 1 species